rnacentral:lncRNA from 1 species
CACCUAUACAAAUGGAGUAAAUUACUGUAGGUGCUAUAUAGUGAGCAUAGUAAUAUUUCACAUUUAUCAUGCAAAUCAUAUAUUUUUACUUUGAAUAAGAUUUAACUCGUUUUUGGAAGAAAAUCAGAGCAUUUUCAUGAAAUUGGGGAGCAAUUGUAGGAUCUUAUUCAAAAUUAGAUAACCCUUUUGUUAAAGUCCAUGUUUUGUUAAACUCUUUUGUUAAACUCCAUGUACAGAUGUGGACUGCAUACCUUAGUAACUAAACUGUAGGCAUGAUAGGUUGUCUGGUAUUUUAACAGUCUGGGUUGUCAUAAUAAGUAGACUAUAGUUUAACAGGUGUAUAGGAUUACAGACUCUUUGUGUUUCAUAUUUCUGUUUGGUGUGCUGGCAAGAAAAGCCAAGCCAGCUCACUCUCACUUUUGAUUUCGGAGAAGAAGGUCCAAUUUGGGGUGUUUCCUAACCAAGGAAAAGGGCGUGUGCCACCCUACCCAGUGCGGGGAGGUUCCUUUCUACUCGAUGCCGAAUUACGGCUGUCAACCUAGGGUCAGCCCAGAGUCAAUGUGGAGUCAAUGUAGGUCAGGGUAGCACCUACCCUCUAUGUCCAGGUCAUCAGUCAAAAUGUCAUUCGAGGGGAAUGACUCACUUCAGUCAGCCGAAGCUAUUGUUCGUCGGACUCGACCGUAAUUCUUCCAAGUUAGAGCUUCAACUCAACUCUUGUUCUUCGUUCUUCAAGGACACGUGUCUUCGCUGAUGACGUCAGUCGUGUUCUUCGUCGUCGUCGUCGAUCAUCGGCAUACUUGUUCCUCGUCAUAAUCGUCCAAUCUUCGUAGUCGUCGUGGUUUGUCGAUCUCUUCUGUUUUCGAACUCCGCAUUUACCCGAUUGAAGGUUUGAUCAAGCAAU